rnacentral:rRNA from 1 species
AUGUGGUCGAUCCAGGCAGCGAUCGCUAGGCACCAAGCCGGUCUCACCGCGAGCGAGCUCGUCGUCAUGGAGGAGAGCACUGGUCAGGCCGCGGCGGCGGCCAGCGACGCGGCGCCUGGGGCCGGAGGCGCGGAGGCCGCGGGCGGGAUGAAGGUGGUGGUGGCGGUGGACGCGAGCGAGGAGAGCCUGCACGCGCUGUCGUGGGCGCUCGACAACGUCGUCCGCCUCCACCCCGGCGCGUCCGUCGCCGUCGUCCACGCCCAGCACAGCGUCGACCACUUCGUCUACCCCGUCGCCGCCCACGCAGGCCUGGCCUACGCCCCGCCGACGGCGUUGGACUCCAUGCGGAGGGCGCAGGAGGAGAACUCCCGGAGGGCGGUGGCCCGCGCGCUGGACGUGUGCAGGCAGAAGCAGGCGAGCGCCACGGCGGCGGUGGUGGAGGGCGACCCCAAGGAGGCCAUCUGCGAGGCCGUGGAGGAGAUGCGCGCCGACCUGCUCGUCCUCGGCAGCCGCGGCCUCGGCAUGGUCAAGAGGGCGUUGCUGGGCAGCGUGAGCGACUACCUCGCCCAUCACGCGUGCUGCCCCGUCCUCAUCGUCAAGCCGCCCAACAAGGCGCACCACAAGUGA